AUGAAGCAAGCUUCUCUCUCUCUCUCCCCCCACCUCCAGAAGCCACAGAAGCAGGAGUGCUACAAUGGUGGAUGGAAUCCAGAGAAAUCAGACCCUUCACAUUUACUUUUUUGCAGCUAUUUCAGAGAACCAGAUGGAAGAGAAACUGAGCAAGCAAAUGAAAGUCUCUGGGGAUCCUGAGAACUGAACGUUUGGGAAAAGCAUAUUCCAGACCAGAAGAUGGUCAUGACUGAAUGGAAAUUCUGUGUCCUGCAGAAAAGAAACCUCUAUUACCUAAAUAAGGUAAAGUACUGCCAUCUGCUGACAAGGAUUGAAAAACUAGUAUUCAAGAUCUGUAAGUACAUAAAUUGACUGUUAAUUUGUUUCACAUGUCCUUUAAUUUUGCUAAAAAGUACCACACUGAGAGAUAUAAAAAUUUAUCAGUCUCCUAUAUGAAAAAGUAGGACUAUAUGACCCAUUAUCCUAUAAUUGCUAUUGUUAGCUCUGAAAACAAACAGUUAAAAGUGACUAUAUCGGUCAUAUAACCAUAUUUGGUUAGAACCACAGUAGUUAAAUAGCUAAAAUGUAAAUGAAGAAAUGAAGUUAUUGUAUUAGCUACUUUCCCAUCACUGGAACACAAUACCAGAUACCCACAAUUUAAGGAAAGAGGGGUUCAUUUUGGCUCACACCGACGUGAGUUCAUC
rnacentral:lncRNA from 1 species